GGGGGCUCUGCUGGACCCCACUCAGAGAGUCCUCUACAGGGAUGUCAUGCAGGAGAACUAUGCGAAUGUGACCUUGCUGGAGCUUCAAGUUCCCAGACCUC